GACGAACGCUGGCGGCGUGCUUAACACAUGCCAGUCGUACGGUAAGGCCCUUUCGGGGGUACACGAGUGGCGCACGGGUGAGUAACACGUGAGUAACCUGCCCACAACUUUGGGAUAACGCUAGGAAACUGGUGCUAAUACUGGAUAUGUGCUCCUUCUGCAUGGUGGGGGUUGGAAAGCUCCGUCGGUUGUGGAUGGACUCGCGGCCUAUCAGCUUGUUGGUGGGGUAGUGGCCUACCAAGGCGGCGACGGGUAGCCGGCCUGAGAGGGUGACCGGCCACAUUGGGACUGAGAUACGGCCCAGACUCCUACGGGAGGCAGCAGUGGGGAAUAUUGCACAAUGGGCGCAAGCCUGAUGCAGCAACGCCGCGUGCGGGAUGACGGCCUUCGGGUUGUAAACCGCUUUCAGCAGGGACGAAGCUUUUUGUGACGGUACCUGCAGAAGAAGCACCGGCUAACUACGUG
rnacentral:rRNA from 1 species